UAGUCCACGCUGUAAACGAUGGUCACUCGAUAUAUGCGCCUUGCGCGCAUGUGUCCUAGCGAAAGCGUUAAGUGACCCACCUGGGGAGUACGCUCGCAAGAGUGAAACUUAAAGGAAUUGACGGGGGUCCGCACAAGCGGUGGAGUAUGUGGUUUAAUUCGAAGCAACGCGCAGAACCUUACCUGGGCUUGACAUCCUGCGAAUCUAUUGGAAACGGUAGGGUGCCCUUCGGGGAACGUAGAGACAGGUGCUGCAUGGCUGUCGUCAGCUCGUGUCGUGAGAUGUUGGGUUAAGUCCCGCAACGAGCGCAACCCUUGUCCUCAGUUGCCAGCAUUUAGUUGGGGACUCUGAGGAGACUGCCGGUGUCAAACCGGAGGAAGGUGGGGAUGACGUCAAGUCCUCAUGGCCCUUAUGUCCAGGGGCUAC
rnacentral:rRNA from 1 species